AAUUUGUUGUGGACUAAUAAAAUGAAUAUGAGCAUCGAUUGCACCGGCUGUUACAAUCUUAUUUUCACAUGCGAUUACUUCUGUUGAGGCUCCUACAAUCAUAUUUUCAGUAACACCUUCCAUGACAUCAGGGUUACCACCCUUACCAAUCGCCACAAUUCGACCAUUUUUCACACCUAUAUCUGCUUUAACAAUACCGGUAUAAUCUAAGAUAAGCGCGUUGGUCAAAAUCAAAUCUAAAACAUUCUCAUCUCUUGUUCUAGUACUGCUUUGUCCCAUGCCGUCUCG
rnacentral:sRNA from 1 species